GACGAACGCUGGCGGCGUGCUUAACACAUGCAAGUCGAACGCAGUGGCGAACGGGUGAGUAAUACGUGGGUAACCUGCCCUCCUUUUUGGGCUAAGCCUUGGAAACGGGGUCUAAUACCGAAUACAGGGGGAUGGGCUCGCGGCAUAUCAGCUUGGUGGUGGGGUGAUGGCCUUCCAAGGCGGUGACGGGUAGCCGGCCUGAGAGGGUGACCGGCCACAUUGGGACUGAUAGACGGCCCAGACUCCUACGGGAUGCUGCAGUGGGGAAGAUUGGGCAAUGGGCGCAAUCCUGACCCAGCAACGCCGCGUGAAGGAAGACGGUCUUCGGAUUGUAAACUUCUUUAGACAGGGCCGCGGGACCUGUAGAAUAAGCCACGGCUAACUACGUGCCAGCAGCCGCGGUAAUAC
rnacentral:rRNA from 1 species